rnacentral:tRNA from 1 species
GGGGAAGUAGCUCAGUAGUAGAGCAUGAGCUUAGGAUGCAGGAAGUCCUGGGUUCAAUCCCCAGUACCUCUA